GUUGUGAUGAUGACCGGGGAAGUGGGGGAGGGGGUAUUGGAGACAUAUAACUUGUUUUACUUACUGAUUGCAGUCACCUCGCUCUCGUUUUCAUUCCCUCUGUUCUCAACCUGGAUGUCAAGUUUUCCAUUGUGCUUGCGUGUGUCUUCAUUUUCCGUGACUGUUCCCUCGGAUGCUGGUGUUCUUCCAGUACCACGGCAAUUCUCCUGAUCAGCAAUCCCAUUUUCCUUAGUAAUACCGAGGUUUGCCAUUUUCUGUUUCAUACAGCAUGAAUCAAUAGCUUUCUCUGAUUCAGUUUGUGGCCCGUUUUCUCCUUUAUCUUGACCAACCUCCAGAGCCACUUUUGCACCAGCUGUGGCAACCUCUUGAUUUUGAACAUUUUCAUGACCAUGAUCUUCUACUUUUUUGCCAUCAUCAGUAUUUAACUGGCCGUUAUUGGUUUCCGUUGCACUGCCAAAAGCAUUUUUAAUGCCAGUAUCUUCUUUACUAUCUUGUAAAGUUUCCUCCCCUGCGGUGUUUUUCUGUUUUGUUUCUUUUGAUUCUACAUCUUCCUUCUUGGCCUCUUCACCCUUGUUAGUUUCAAUUUCUUUGUCUUUUGUUUCAUCUUCUUUUUUAGGCUCUUCAUCCUCAGCAGUUUCAAUUUCUUUUUCUUUUUUUUCAUCUUCGCUUUUAGGCUCUUCACCCUUGGCAGUUUCAAGUUCUUUUUGUUUUGUUUCAUCUUCUUUGUUAAGUUCUUCGUCCUUGGAGUUCUUUUCUUUCUCAGUUUCAGCAUUUUCCUUCUCAGACAUUUCAG
rnacentral:misc_RNA from 1 species